CCCAGGAUUAAGCACCGCACUGCACGGAGCCAUGCACUGAGUGUGGAGCAAAUGGUUUGUGUGGCCUUGUGCUUUUUUGCUAGUGGAGCCUUCCUGUACUCAGUGGGGGAUGCAGAACAGCUGAACAAGGCCACAAUUUGCCGCACAAUAAGGAGUGUGUGUCUGGCUAUCAAAGCAUUAGCAGAUGUCUUCAUCUCCUUCCCUGGCCACAGAAGACUCUGUGACAUCAAAGAGGAGUUCUAUAGGAUUGCAGAUGGUCUGCAAUGCUGACUGUGUGAUCAGCAAUGUUUGGCAAAAUGGCCUGGCUCAGUCCAUGACUCCAGAAUCUUUCGGGCCUCUGAAAUCUAUCACAAGGUGAAUUCUCUGGUGUGUUGCUGGGAGACAGGGGUAUGGCUGCCAGCCUUUUCUCCUGACACCUUUCACAGACCCCAGGAAGCACAGCAGGCCUACAACCAUGCCCAUGCCAGGACCAGGGCCAGAGUUGAAAUGACCUUUGGCCUCCUGAAGGCACGCUUUCACUGCCUUCACAAAUUAAGGGUCAGCCCUGUUAGGGCAUGUGAUAUUACUGUGGCUUGUGCUGUCCUCCACAAUGUGGCCUGCCUGAGGAAGGAGAGGGCCCCAGAGUGCCACCAGCCAUGGACUGGGACAAUCCGGCAAUCUUCCCUGAUGACGACAGUGGUCGGCUGCUGAGGGACCAAUAUGUGUUGAAUUAUUUUAGUUAGUAUGUGUGCUUUCAAUUUUGGUUAAAUAUGUCCUGCGGUGGCAGAGGAAUUUGGGUUUUUUUUGGGUUCGUUUUUUGACGAAUUUGGCCUCUUAUGAUGUUUGUGCGGUAUACUGUGUGUAAUACAAGGCUGCAGGGAGGCUACUGCAUCCAUUCAUUUGUCUGUUCAGUUGAUGUGUAUGGAUUUGUCCUGCAUUUAUUUUAGUGUGCAGACAUGCAGGGUGUGUUAUAUACAGACCUUUGAAUGUGUAUGUAUCAUUUUGUAUAAUAUGCUUGGAUUCUGUGCUUUCCAUCUUGUAGAGUCACUGUGACUUCAGUUUCGAAAGGAGCUGAUGGUUUACCUGCUUUGUUUUGUCCUUAUUCAAUAAAGGAACAUAAUGUUACACAUUGUGUUUUUAUAUUCA